CCUACGGGAGGCAGCAGUAGGGAAUCUUCCACAAUGGGCGAAAGCCUGAUGGAGCAACGCCGCGUGGGUGAAGAAGGUCUUCUGAUCGUAAAACCCUGUUGUUAGAGAAGAAAGUGCGUGAGAGUAACUGUUCACGUUUCGACGGUAUCUAACCAGAAAGCCACGGCUAACUCCGUGACAGCAGCCGCGGUAAUACGUGGGUGGCAAGCGUUAUCCGGAUUUAUUGGGCGUAAAGGGAACGCAGGCGGUCUUUUAAGGCUGAUGUGAAAGCCUUCGGCUUAACCGGAGUAGUGCAUGUGAUACUGGGAGACUUGAGAGCAGAAGAGGAGAGCGGAACGUAAGGUGUAGCGGUGAAAUGCGUAGAUA
rnacentral:rRNA from 1 species